rnacentral:rRNA from 1 species
CCUGAUGGAGCAACACCGCGUGAGUGAAGAAGGGUUUCGGACGUCGUAAAGACUCUGUUGUUUAAAGAAGAACACGUAUGAGAGUAACUGUUCAUACGUUGACGGUAUUUAACCAGAAAGUCACGGCUAACUACGUGCCAGCAGCCGCGGUAAUACGUAGGUGGCAAGCGUUAUCCGGAGUUUAUUGGGCGUAAAGAGAGUGCAGGCGGUUUUCUAAGUCUGAUGUGAAAGCCUUCGGCUUAACCGGAGAAGUGCAUCGGAAACUGGAUAACUUGAGUGCAGAAGAGGGUAGUGGAACUCCAUGUGUAGCGGUGGAAUGCGUAGAUAUAUGGAAGAACACCAGUGGCGAAGGCGGCUACCUGGUCUGCAACUGACGCUGAGACUCGAAAGCAUGGGUAGCGAACAGGAUUAGAUACCCCUGGUAG